ACCCUCCCUUGGGCUCCCACUCUCUCAUGCCCAUCUCUCCCUCUCCAUCCGGUGCAGCCCACCUUCGGCCCACCUCCUUUUCUUCCUCUGGCCCGAGCUGGCCACUUCUUCUUUGGCCCGUACCCCUUCGAGCGGAGAAGUUCUCGAUGCACAGCAUCGUUGUCGUCUUCCUUCCUCACGCUGGCAGCGUGAGCAACCUGGUCCUCCCCAACCACCGCACCACCACAUUUUUCCUCCUCCUUUUAAUCCCCCUUGAGGUCCCAGAAACCCUAGCCUUCCUCCCUCUUGCCGCCGCCACUCUCUUCUUUUCCUCUUGAUCUUUCCCUGUGAGAAAACGUACCAGGCAACACACCCUUGUACGACCACCAUGGCACCGCGUCCUCCUCCUCAUCUCCCCGCCAAACCAAACCGUCCCCCGCCGUUCCGAGGGCAUCGGCGGAUGCGCCUCGUCGUCCUCUUCCUCGUGGUGAAAGGAAUCGAGCCGGGAUCGCUUCAAUCGACGCCAAGCUCGCCGAUUCCCCACUCUGGCUACCACACUCCGGCGCCGAUUCCGGCCGGCCUAGUCCUUCCCCGGCAACUUAGACCUCACCAGCAUGUUCCUGGAGCUCGUCGCCGGCAACACUCCGGCCACCCCCUGGACUCUGGCACCACCACCAUCGGCCUCCCCACGUCCAGCCGCAUCCCCCACGUCAUCUUCCGCUUCCCGGUUCGCCCUGAAUCGUCGGAUUGAUUCGCAACUUCUUCCUCCGCCAUGGCUGUAAUGUUGAAGCUCGUCCCUGGCACUGCUUGUUCAAGUUUUUCCGCGCCCUUUUGUUGACACGUUCGAACUACUAACUCAGUGAUCCGGCGCCAUGGAUGGGCCUUGGCCCAGAUCUUCCGGCAGCCGUUGCCCGCGCGUCCAGGAACAACCCAUCGCCGACGCAGGCCUAGUUCCGGCCCAUGACAGCGCAGCAUUUGCUUCUUCUCGGAUAGGAUCACGAAGUGGUGUGUGAGAUACGACGAGUUCUCCGACAAGUUCUUCUGCAGCUUUUCACAGGCGAGCCCACCCCUUCACCUAUUUUACAUUUACAUGCUCUUUUGAUCUAUUGCUAUCCUUAUGUUGCGAUUCUGUUGUGUCACGUGCCCUAUCCACCUGUUACCUAUAUGUCCGAGAUACACCUCCUCGCCCUACCUAUUGUUUGUUGUUUGCCGACUUUGCGAGUCGUAGGCGAGUUUAGGGUUUUGUUGAUAUCUCGAAAUGUUCGGGAUAUCUUGUUGGGAGGUUAUCACAUGCUAUAUCAGUUGUUGGAGAUACUCAUGCUUUACUUUAUUGUUAACAACUAAAAUUGUAAGCAGAGGCAUCUGUGAGCCCCUUUGCGAAAGCAUCGGAACUUUGACUUGCUAAUGUCCCCUAGGACCCGAGUUCUUGUUAUCUGUUCCGAGAUUGAGCGCUCUACCCGUACGUGGGGGAGUGGGACCCCCAUCACCCACUACCUUUCCUCGAGUCUGUUUAUUGGGAGCCACAACCUUGGUUUUAUUUUGCUCAUAUGCAUGAUGCACGAUUUACUUCUGUUGCCUUCGGGUGUUUAUUUCUGUACUGUACUCAUAACGUGGAACGAUUAGCGACAGCAGGUUGUUCACACUUAGCUUAGCCGUUGGC